GCGGAGGGGAGGCUGGAAGGCCGCAGUCGGGGUCGCGUCGCUUUAUACAAAGUGCCGUUUGGCUCCACGCGGUGCCGCCGCCCCCGCGAGAGCUCGCGUGGGGCCUUUAAGCACCGCCCGCUGGUGCCGGGGCGGGUAGUGGAUGUGGCCACGGGCGGACCCGCGGCAGCACAAUGAGCCUUGUUUCGCCGCCAGGGCCGCCGCUUUAAGAGCCCUGGCCAGGAAAUGCGGCGCGGGGCACGGCGGGGCACGGGAAGUUCGCGGGGGCGCCGCCACCCCGUUUCCCCAGCCCUGCGCUCGGCCCGGCCCGGCCCCGGUGCGCUGCCCGCGUUCAGACCCCGGCGCGGUCGCACCGGCUCAGGGUUUCGGGGAGGUGGUGUAUCACCCGCCGCGUGUGGGACACGUAGCAGCGUGUGUGAUUUCCAGCCGUGUCGGUGUUAACGCUGUUAACACCCUCUGACAGUACAGCCCCGGCCCUCGUGACGAGAGUGAAAAGGGUGGAGGGAAAGGUGAAAAAUACCUCGGCCUUAUCUUCUUCUAAAUCUCUCUGUGAUUUUACAGGCAGUUUUUGGUGUCCUGGCUGGUUUUUGGAUGUACCCACUGUAUUGCAAGUCCCGAACGUGCUUGGGAGCAGAUGACUGCUUUGUACCCAUUGCACUGCGAGGCAGAACUGCCUUGGGAAUCUGCUGUAAGGAUGCUGUGCAUUGGGAUAGAACAGGCUCCUAUUAAGUGAUUUGGCGCUACUGAAAAUAGCGAACGAGAGGGAAUCCAGCCUCUGUAGUUCAGAGCAAACUUUAGCUCGCAUUACAAGACACCUGCUUAAGCGUGGCAUGCUGGCAUCAAAUGCAGUGUUGCUUCACCUGCGUGGCCAAGAGGAGAGACUGCUGAGGCCUCCCAGUAGGCACCCCUUAGUCCAUUUUGCAAACCAGGACCAACUCCUUGUAGCCUCUUACACCUUCAUUUUGGCCAGUCCCUGAAAAUGAGGAAGAGGGAGCAACCAGUGACCCUUUUUUAACAUAGGACCAACUCAGUAAUGAAGGAUUCAUAUUUGCAUGUCUUCCCUCAGUGUGGCUGAACGGCUGGAGAAGAGCUGUUGCUAUUGAGAAUCAUAGAAUCAUCAAGGUUGGAAGAGACUUCUGAGAUCAUCCAGUCCUAUAAUCAACCUAGCACUACUGGGUUAGAGUAAAUCACAUCACCCAGUGCCAGAUUGAGACACCUUUGAACACCUUCAGGAAUUGUGACUCCACCUCUUCCUGAGCAGUCCCGAUGGCUGACCGCCUUAACAGUGAAAAAACUUUUCCUGUUACCCAAUCUGAAUCUCCCCUGUCUCAGUUUAAGGCCAUUUCCUCUAGUCCUCUCAUUGUAGGUAUGGUAGAGGAGAGUGGCCCCCACCUCACUACAGCCUCCCUUGAUGUUGUAGAGAGCAAUGAGGAGGUCCUCUGGAGCCUCCCCUUCCCAAGACUACAAACACAGCUCCCUCAGCCAUUCCUCAUAAGACAUGUUUUCUACGCCCUUCUAGGCCCUUCUCUGAACAUGCUUUAGCACCUCAAUGUCCUUUUUAAAGUGAGGGGCCCAAAACUCAAGGUGCAACCUCACCAAUGCCAAGUACAGGGGUACAAUACAAUGUCUGUCUUUCUCCCCUCUUAUCCUUUCUGCUUCAUCACCAUGACAUUUUGCCUUUUUACUUGCACGAUUACCACUACGAAGGGCUGAGUUACUAUUCUCUGUCUCAUGGCAAGUUGGGAGUUUUUGUGAUUCCUUAUGCUAAUAUAGAAAUUCAAGGCAGAAAAGUCCUGUUAGGUCAUCUACUCUGCUCCCCUGCUGAGAGAGGAUUUACAACAAGUGCAUAAUUGCUCUUUCAUUUUAAAUGCCUCAGGUGAUGGGGCUUCCAUCACUUUUGGAGUCUGCUUCACAGUCCAGAACGUCCCAUGGUCAGGAAGAUAUUUAGCUUAUAUUUUCAUUUGUUCGGUUUCAGCCAAUUACUCCUGGUUAUAAACAUGUGUUGUACUCCUCUAAACAGUUUUACUCCUCUCUGGCUGUUUGUGUCUUACACACAGGUAUGGCUAUUUUCCUAGCCGUUGCUAUUCUUUAUCUCCUUUCAUUAACCAGUCCCUGCAGCCACUUUACUAUUGGUCUUCUUUGAUCCCAUUCAAUUGCUCAUCAGUUCCUCAGCCCAUGGAUGCCCACAUUUAGGGCCUUAUCCUCUGUGAAUGCAGCCAAAACCACAUCAUAGUUUAAUUAGUCUCAAAGUUGCCUCAAAGGUUGCACAGAAUUUGUCACCUGACAUUGCUCUGAAUCUGAUCUUUUCCUGUUAUUCCCCAGUGUUCCCUCUUGCAGUGCAACUACAAUUUAUUUUUCCUUUUUCUACCUGGAGUUUCAGCAUCUGUUCCUUCCCUCUGGGGUCACUGAUAGCUGCUGUUCCUCACAAUUUGUUUAAUGGCCCUUACAAAUACAGGCCUUGAUCCCUCUCCGCAGACCUCUCAACCAGUAUGGAUGGUUGCAAGUAUCUGUUCUAGACCACAACCUGUUCUAGUGCAAUUGUCUUCCAGCUCUUUCUGUUCUUUGUGUUUUUCCACUACUCCACUAAAUGUGAAUGCAAAGGAUGAUAACUAGAAAAGGUAGGGAGAGAAAUGGUGAAUGUGUAGAGAAGGCCACAGGUAUGAGUGUGGCACCUCUGUAGCUAGAAGUCAAUCCCAUUGAAGCUGCUGCAAGAAAGCUGGGAAGGAAAUGUGACUGGGCAAAACCCAUACCACACCAUCCUGUGGUCUGUCCUUACCCACAGAAGCUAUGCCUUAACCAUGCUAGCUACAUGCUAGACAGGGACUGAAGAACAUCUUUGAACACUUGAACAAGGAGGACCAAACUCUUUGUAGUGUGUUAGCUUUUCUGCUUGGUUCUGCCCUUAUUUCUCUGGCCUUAUUUCUUCCAGUCUCUCUCAUUAAUUCCAUCUCUUGAGACCUGACAUUAUGGUCCUGGCUGCUGCUCUGUGCAGAAAAAAACCGCUGCCAAAUCUCCAGGUGUGCAGCAUACCCAUGGUUACAGGAGCGUGGUUCUGAAAAAGUAAGAGGAAAACUUUUCCAGCUCCCCUUUAGAUCUGCACAGGGCAGAAAGGAAGUCCAUUAUCUCUCGAACAGGCUCCUAGUUAGUUUCCUUCACUCUCACCUAGAAACUACUGCUUAGCUUAUCUCCAUGGAGGAACCAUUAGUUAAAGGCAGGAUUUACAAUCCAACAGAGCCACCUGUCAUCAACACCCUAUCCAGAAUUCUCCUAACUUUUUGUUCGGGGAACUUGUUACAACUUAGUGUUGCCUGUAUCAGCAACACUAAUACAGGCAAAAGGCACCAUGGCCUUGGGGCUCUCCCGGGAAGGGAGGGUGAGUGGCAUGCUGGGGGACAGCAGCAGGAUGAGAAAACCAAUAGGCUGGAGUAUGUUCCUUCUCCUCAUAGUGACCUGAAAAAUCUGGCUUUAGAUGCUUGUAUUUUCUGGUCUAAAGUUUGUCUCUGAAAACAAGGUGAACCCUGAAGUAAAAGAGGCAAACCACCCUUUCACUGGGACUUGUAAUUUUCUGUCCACAGCAGUGCAUCUCCAUACCAGCUUCCACUGAUUCUCUGCCACUUGGGCCUCUUUUACAGCCCUAGGACUCCGAGUGUCUUUCUACAUGUACUUACUCAACAACUAGGCUAGGGGUUUUUUUCAUAUGUCCAUAAAGGAUGUUGAAGCCUUUUUCCCAAAGGGUUUAGAUGCUUGGGUCCAUCUGAAAGCCAAGGUUUUCAUUCCUUCUUUGGUGUACCUAUUUUCUGGUUUCAGCAGCGUGCAGCAAUAUCUCAGAUGUUUGCAGUAAUCAUUGACUUUCAUUAAGGAGACUUUGUUCAUAGUAAUAUUUUUUCUUUUCUGUUUUUAUUUGCAAACCACUCAUUAGUUUCCAGUGCCCAGUUAUCAUUAACUCAUCCUACAGUUUCUCCGCUGUUGUCUUUUCCUUCCCUUUAUCUUUCUCUAGCACAACUUAACUGGCUCAUUUAGUGCUCACUUCUAUACUUCAUUUGUAUUACUAGUUUUAUUUUUGUCUUCCAUUGUUUGAGCAGAUACAAAUAGUCAGUUCAUAUGACUUGAUGGAUGUGUUGACAUUACUGAGCCUCAACAGAGAUGACUCUCUUCCAGACUGAGGGACAGGAUCAACUCUUCAGGAACAAAGCACACAGCUGGAGAUCUUGGAGCCCUCCACUGAGCAGGAGAGACCGUGGCUAUCUGCCCAGAUGAAGAGAGAGCAACAGAAAACAGUGGCAUCUUGCAUCACACCAUUUUCAAUGGUCAAAACUGGCAUGUCACAGGAUGUGAAAAGCAAUGAAUGUCAAAGUCAAAGGAACUUUGUACCAAGGCUGUACUUUAUCUCUGGUUCCUCUCUGGGUACCAACAGCAAAUGUGUAUCUUUGGGUGAUAUUUGUGGAAAGUAAAUAUAUUUUGUCUAUGCCGUGGCUUACCUUUGGGGGUACUGCUUCUUACACCAUUUUCUAAUGUUGAUGACACGAUGUAUUACAGUAGUAAUAAUGAAAAACAACAACUACAAUAACAAAAAUAGAACAAAAAACCCCCAACCCCAAACCAACAACAAACACGCAAAAAAACCCCCCAACUUCAUAAUCCAGUAUAGAAAAUUAAGUUCAUCAGACAAAGAUUUCCCACACUGCAACUUAUUUUCUCAGAUGAUGUGUGUUCUUUUUGAGAAGCAGAUGCUCUAUUUCAUUGAAUAUAACAGAUGAUUAUGGAAAUUACAACACCUGUUUGUAAUCAAGAUAAGGGUUUGGAUUAUUUUGCUUUAUGAUUCUAAAUCUCUCACUAGCUGAGUGGGUAAAAACAUACAUAAGGCUGAAUGACUCAUCCUUGUGCUUCACAGGUAGAUGUGUCUGCCAUCAAAACCUACUGAGAGAGCAGAGGUGAAGAGGGCAUGUCUUAGACGUCCCUCCUUGAUACACCUUCCCACAGAUGAAUCUCCAAAGAUACAGAAAGUCCUUUCUCAAACUUUCUUACAAGCUGGAAAACUUCAAAAUAUCUUUGCAAAAGAAAUAACAUUUUUGUAUGGUGUUCUUUUCCCCAGCAACUUGUGUAGUUUCUACAACAACUCUGUCUCCAAAAAUCCCAGGCUGGCUCCUAUACCAUUUAUUAAGUCCCAAACUCUUCUAGUUGCCCACCAGCCAGCAAGUCUGACCAAUGCAGAAUAGAGGAAAGGAUGGGGGAAAAAAUAUCAAAAAGUGUCACAGUUUAAAGACACCAAAUCUGUAAGGAAGGAAAGUGAGGAAAAUGACAAGUUCAGGUUUUCUCCCUGAAAACCCUUGCCACCAACUGGCUCUGUUUAAAAUGCCUUGUUUGAUGCCAAAUGCCACCUGAUUUUACAAAAAAAGAAGCUGAUUGAAAAGUUGCUUCCUAGCUUGUGUGAGACAGAACUCAAGUAAUCUAAAACUCUAGAGAUCAGUGCUGUGAAUGCUUGGUGAAUGACAAGACUUCCUGCAUUUUGGUUAAGAAAAUUCAUUUUUCUGGAUAUGUAUGUGUGCUCAAACUAAAAAAAAGAUUCACUUCAAAUGAAAAUAAAAAUCAGAAACUGACUUUUAUGAGAUUUUUCAUCUCUUAUCCCAAUCAGAAUCAAUCACAGCAUCACAGAAAUGUGGCAUGUGCUGAUGUGGCAUGAUGAAGAUAGACAGAUCCAUGUGUCUGACGAUUCUAUACAAAUAUCAUUAUUACCUGAAUGAGAUGAACCACAGUGGACGAAUUGCCUAGCUGGGACAUCGUCCUUCAAAAGGCAAUGUACAGCUGAUAAAAGAGAUAGGAACAGCUCCUCAAUCCUUUCAAAUAGGCACCUGAAUUAAAAUUAAAGCUGCCACUUCGCCCACUGCUGAUCAUAAUUUUGUCCAGUGUACCUGGAGUCAUUGGUCAACCCCAGAGUGCCAGACCAUACGACUGUCACAGUGCCACCCUUAUCUCCAGAGUCCAGAGAACACAAAAGCUUGGGGUUUAGUACCUUGCUGGGGGAAUUUGCACAUGUGAGUUCACCUCUUUGUUACAGCUUUCUCACCAAACACAGAUGAGAAUAAUGGUAAAGCAGGUGAGCAUGAAUGGAUGAAAAAGAGAACAAGGGAGCUAGAUUGUCAUGUGAAAGGGGGGAGUUUAGAUUUUUGCCUGUUGGUGCCCCUAGGAAAGUCGAGACCCAUGUGUCCGACCGGUCUGGCAGGAUUGCACAAUGAGAGCCUUCACCAACAGAUUCAUAAAAUUGGAGGGUGAUUUGAUUGCCUUUGUCAGGGGGUGCUUAGUCAACAGCAUGAAGACCCCUCAGCGGGCCCUGCCAAAGUGUUAUCUGCUGCUGGACUCACUCUAACAGUUCAUGCAACAACACCUUUUAUUAAUACAAAUUGUGGCAGGUUUGUGGUCGUCGGUGAUAGGGUGCAAAAAUAUGUUUUAAAGCAAUCUACUGGUAUAUAUAUUAAGCAAACACAAGCUGUAAUCCUAAAAGCAGUAUUUAUAAUUCUUACUAAAUACAUCCCUGUGGGGAGAGAAUAUAGGCAGUUUCAAAGUACCACAAGUUCCCCCUUUCUGCCAGGAUUUCAAUGGAGGGAGUCCAUUGAAAUGGUAGUCUUCACUUCAUUCCACUCUCCAUUCCAUCCCUCUAAGCAGAUGAUUAUCAUCGUAUGGGGAGCACAUUGACUGCAUUCUGUCCAGGCAGUAGCAGCUGCAUUUAUCACAGAAUUCUUAACCUCCUCUAAAUUUUAACCAUAUCCAUCGUCCCACACAGUGUAAGAGAAAAGGUUUAUUUUGUCACUUGAUUUACCACCCUUGGAGACACAAAGUCAGAACGCACAUAAGCCAUAAUAAAACCAGGUAACAUGAUUUGAAAGGUGAACAUGGCUCUGACAGUUGUUAGUGUUGGCUUUCCAUCAAACAAGAAGACACACUGCUUGUUAAACAAGUCUAACAGCACUAGUGUUUUCCAACAGCAUUACUUUCUGGGACCAAGUGUUGCAAUCUAUAAAGUGUCUUGCUACCCUUAUUUAGGAGAAGAGCCUUAUGAAUGUGAUAAUCUUUUAAGGUCCAAUUUUAUCAUAUAACAUGCUGCAAUUUAUGUUUCCUAUAUAUGGUUCAUAAUGAGAUUAGUGGAGUAUAAAUGUUCAUGCAAUUUAAAUAAAUAGUCUCCUGAGUGUCUGGCGUUAGAAAUAUAGUGUUCUGUAUUUACCUGCAGGCACUGAUGUU